AACAGACCAUACCAUUCUGAAAGUGCCUGAUCUUGUUUGGUCCUAGAAGCCAAGCAGGUUUGGGCCUGGUUAAUACUUGGUGGGAGAAAUAAUGCUGGCUAACACUGAUG
ensembl:rRNA 5S_rRNA 5S ribosomal RNA